CACCUCAAUUUUAGAGUUUAAAAAGGCAGAAAUUAUGAAUUAUUUUAAAGAAAAUAGUUAAGAUUAGAGGAUGUUGAG